rnacentral:rRNA from 1 species
GAUGAACGCUAGCUACAGGCUUAACACAUGCAAGUCGAGGGGCAGCGCAGUGUAGCAAUACAUGGGCGGCGACCGGCGCACGGGUGCGUAACGCGUAUCCAACCUUCCCGUUACUCAGGGAUAGCCUUCCGAAAGGGAGAUUAAUACCUGAUGGUGUUUGAAUUCCGCAUGUUAUUCAAACUAAAGAUUUAUCGGUAACGGAUGGGGAUGCGUGACAUUAGAUAGUAGGCGGGGUAACGGCCCACCUAGUCUACGAUGUCUAGGGGUUCUGAGAGGAAGGUCCCCCACACUGGAACUGAGACACGGUCCAGACUCCUACGGGAGGCAGCAGUGAGGAAUAUUGGUCAAUGGUCGGAAGACUGAACCAGCCAAGUAGCGUGAAGGAUGAAGGUUCUAUGGAUUGUAAACUUCUUUUAUACGGGAAUAAAACCUCCCACGUGUGGGAGCUUGUAUGUACCGUAUGAAUAAGCAUCGGCUAACUCCGUGCCAGCAGCCG